rnacentral:rRNA from 1 species
UGGGGAAUCUUGGACAAUGGGGGCAACCCUGAUCCAGCCAUGCCGCGUGAGUGAUGAAGGCCUUAGGGUCGUAAAGCUCUUUCGCCUGUGAAGAUAAUGACGGUAGCAGGUAAAGAAACCCCGGCUAACUCCGUGCCAGCAGCCGCGGUAAUACGGAGGGGGUUAGCGUUGUUCGGAAUUACUGGGCGUAAAGCGCACGUAGGCGGACCAGAAAGUUGGGGGUGAAAUCCCGGGGGCUCAACCCCGGAACUGCCUCCAAAACUAUUGGUCUAGAGUUCGAGAGAGGUGAGUGGAAUUCCGAGUGUAGAGGUGAAAUUCGUAGAUAUUCGGAGGAACACCAGUGGCGAAGGCGGCUCACUGGCUCGAUACUGACGCUGAGGUGCGAAAGUGUGGGGAAGCAAA